UACGAAGGGGGCUAGCGUUGCUCGGAAUCACUGGGCGUAAAGGGCGCGUAGGCGGCCAUUCAAGUCAGGGGGUGAAAGCCUGUGGCUCAACCACAGAAUUGCCUUUGAUACUGUUUGGCUAGAGACCGGAAGAGGUAAGUGGAACUGCGAGUGUAGAGGUGAAAUUCGUAGAUAUUCGCAAGAACACCAGUGGCGAAGGCGGCUUACUGGUCCGGUUCUGACGCUGAGGCGCGAAAGCGUGGGGAGCAAACAGGG
rnacentral:rRNA from 1 species